AUGCUCACAUUCUUUUAAACGACAGCGGUGAGCACAGCUUUCAAAGGUAAUUUAGGCUACGGUUUUACUCAUCUGUAGAUAAACGCGAGUAAAUAUCGUAAUAGUUGGUCUUAUUGCUAAAUAAGCAAAGGAACUUCAUUGCAGCUUUUGCUAUUUUGUGAAUAUCGCUGCCUUUACAUUGAGGCAUGUCGUUAAUUAUGAAAACAACAGAGUCCCAGGUCCCUUACGACGUGAACACAGACCUCUGCUUAAUUGCGGACUGAGUGCAAUUUAAACCCAGCAGUUGCAUAGGCUUUAAUAACGGUAGUCCAGAAUUCAUCGGAAACCCAGCUGGACAACAUUUCCGUCACCUCUGCAGGUAUUGAACCGAGGCUACUGAAUCUCUAACAAUGGAAUACAGGUGAUGGUGAGUUCCCUCCCGGGUGUGUGAUGCUACUGCUCAGGUAGAGCGCCUCCGCACCCCCCCGCCUCGCCCCCCACCCCCCCUCCGACACCGCCCCCUCCUCCACC